rnacentral:tRNA from 1 species
GCAGUGGUGGUUCAAUGGUAGAAUUCUUGCCUUCCAUGCAGGAAACCUCAAUUUGAUUCCAGGCCAGUGCA